UACGUAGGUGGCAAGCGUUGUUCGGAAUUAUUGGGCGUAAAGGGCGCGUAGGCGGUUUGUUAAGUCGGUUGUGAAAGCCCGGGGCUCAACCCCGGAGGUCGACCGAUACUGGCAGGCUAGAGUACAGAAGAGGUAGCUGGAAUUCCCGGUGUAGCGGUGAAAUGCGUAGAUAUCGGGAAGGAACACCAGAGGCGAAGGCGGGCUACUGGGCUGAUACUGACGCUGAUGCGCGAAAGCCAGGGGAGCAAACGGG
rnacentral:rRNA from 1 species